UGGAGCUUAUUCCAGCUUGAGGGAAAGACUCUUCUUGGUGUGUCCUCCUGUUCUCCCUCUCCUCCUGCCCUCCUCCUUGCUAACGCCCACAGCCAGGGUGGGGGCAGUGACACCCACCCAGAUGUCAUUUCCCCAGAAGAAGCAGGCAAGGAGCCAGCAGCCCACAAGGGCACCUUGCGGUGUGUGGCAUCUCUCGUGCCUUCGGGAAGAACAACCCUAGUGAGGACAUGCCUUGGCGGGGAAGAGGAGGCUCUCACGUCGCAGAUGUGGUAUCUCUGUCAGCAUCAAAGGCACCGCCAGACACAGGCCCCGAACGCCAGCCUCCACUAACAGUUGCGCCAAGCCCUGGAGGCCAAGAUGAAGCCUUCCAAUGCUCAGAGAACUCUCAACUAAAGCUGCCGACAGACGACCCUACUGAGGAGCUCAUCCUGUGCCUGCUGGGGCUUGGGCUAUGUACACAUGCCCCCAGAGCAUUUCUCCUGAGACCAUGGGAGGAAGACAGGGUGUUAUUCCUGCUCUGUCCCCUGAGAACAAAGCCAGAGUGAGUUGGAUAAACUUCAAACUACAGAAGAAACUGGAAUUCACUAUAAGUAACUUGAUGGGUCGAGACCGAACUGGGAUAGGAUCAUCACUCAGUGUGUGUUUUAUCACUCGGUUUUAAAAAGUGUUUUCCCACCCAUUGGACGGGUAAGACCAAACUCUGAUAGAGAUGAGAACCGACAAAGGAACGUGACCUCGAAGCCCCAGAAGAAUGGUAGUGCGUGGAGCUCAUCAUGAGAAGGAAAAAGCAGGAGGAAGAGGGACCAGCGCUCUCUCUGAUCUAAGUCAAACUCCCAGUGAGGAGAGUAGGACACAGCCUCGCUUAUACUAGUAACAGCUCUUCUGCGAGCCAGGCCCUCUCCUGAGCGCUUCAUGGAAAUGUGAAUUUAAAAGUCAAGCACUCAAGAACCCCAGCUAUCUCAUCAACACUUCAGAUGCCUCAGAAAUGCAUCGGAAUUUUUUAAAAAUUGAUUCUCCAACUCUCUCCCUUCGCUUCUCUUCGGACCACGUGGGAUUUGCAGCAGAGUACACACGAUAGACACAUCCCCUGAAGUUCAUUUCAUGGCUCACUACUGGAUCCCAACUGGCACUUUGAAAAAAGUGAUCUAAUGGAAAGCACAUAGAUUUUGGUGUUAAAAAGAACAUUCUGGGAUUAAAUCUUGGUUCUGCCACUCACGACCUGUGUAAGUAUAGGAACACUGUUUUAUUUGCUUGUGUCAUAGUCUCCUCAUCUGUAAAAUGAAGACGGGCCAUCUCGC